GGGUAAGCGCGGUAUUGGAUAUCCGCGUCCAAGCAGUUAGGCUGGGAAAUAGGCAAAUCCGUUUCCCAUAAGGCUGAGCUGUGAUGGCGAGCGAAAUAUAGUAGUGAAGUUCCUGAUUCCACACUGCCAAGAAAAGCCUCUAGCGAGGUGAGAGGUGCCCGUACCGCAAACCGACACAGGUAGGCGAGGAGAGAAUCCUAAGGUGAUCGAGAGAACUCUCGUUAAGGAACUCGGCAAAAUGACCCCGUAACUUCGGGAGAAGGGGUGCUCUGUUAGGGUGCAAGCCCGAGAGAGCCGCAGUGAAUAGGCCCAGGCGACUGUUUAGCAAAAACACAGGUCUCUGCGAAGCCGUAAGGCGAAGUAUAGGGGCUGACGCCUGCCCGGUGCUGGAAGGUUAAGAGGAGCGCUUAGCGUAAGCGAAGGUGCGAAUUGAAGCCCCAGUAAACGGCGGCCGUAACUAUAACGGUCCUAAGGUAGCGAAAUUCCUUGUCGGGUA
rnacentral:rRNA from 1 species